rnacentral:misc_RNA from 1 species
CGCACCUUGCGCCCUCUGGUAUUCCGGAGGGCAUGCCUGUUUGAGUGUCAUGUAGACUCAUCCUUUCGGGUUUCCGAAAUGUGAUGGAUUUGGAGGUUUGCCUUUGAUGGCUCCUCUUAAAUGCAUGGUGUAGACGUAAUAAGUUUCGUCGUACGCACCUUCGUCGCAAGACAACUAUUUUACUUCUGACCUCAAAUCAGGUAGGGCUACCCGCUGAACUUAA